rnacentral:rRNA from 1 species
AUACCGGACUCAAUGAGGCUCGGUAAUUGAAAUGAGUACAGUUUAAAACCCUUAACGAGGAUCUAUUGGAGGGCAAGUCUGGUGCCAGCAGCCGCGGUAAUUCCAGCUCCAAUAGCGUAUAUUAAAGUUGUUGCAGUUAAAAGCUCGUAGUUGGAUCUCGGGUACUAGCAUGUGGUUCGCUUUACUGUCGUAACUACAUGUCUGGUCCUAAUUAAUCGGUUGGCCGUUGAUGUCCUUUAUUGGGUGUUUUCGGUAGCCGGUACGUUACUUUGAGAAAAUUAGAGUGCUUAAAGCAGGCUAUCGCCUGAAUAAUGUUGCAUGGAAUAAUAGAAUAGGACCUCGGUUCUAUUUUGUUGGUUUUGUAGAGCAUUGAGGUAAUGAUUAAUAGGGACAGACGGGGGCAUUCGUAUUGCGUUGUUAGAGGUGAAAUUCUUGGAUCGACGCAAGACGAACAACUGCGAAGGCAUUUGCCAAGAAUGUUUCCAUUAAUCAAGAACGAAAGUUGGAGGUUCGAAGACGAUUAGAUACCGUCCUAGUUCCAACCAUAAACGAUGCCAACUAGCGAUUAGCUGCUGUUAAUCAAACGACACAGCUAGCAGCUUCCGGGAAACCAAAGUUUUUGGGUUCCGGGGGAAGUAUGGUUGCAAAGCUGAAACUUAAAGGAAUUGACGGAAGGGCACCACCAGGAGUGGAGCCUGCGGCUUAAUUUGACCCAACACGGGAAAUCUCACCCGGCCCGGACACUGUAAGGAUUGACAGAUUGAGAGCUCUUUCUUGAUUCGGUGGGUGGUGGUGCAUGGCCGUUCUUAGUUGGUGGAGCGAUUUGUCUGGUUAAUUCCGAUAACGAACGAGACUCUAGCCUGCUAAAUAGUACGUCGAUCUUUUGUCGGCGCGUACUUCUUAGAGGGACAAGUGGCGACUAGCCACACGAAAUUGAGCAAUAACAGGUCUGUGAUGCCCUUAGAUGUUCGGGGCCGCACGCGCGCUACACUGAAGGGAUAAGCGUGUCUUUCCUGCUCCGAAAGGAGUGGGUAACCCGCUGAAACCCCUUCGUGAUUGGGAUCGGGGCUUGAAAUUAUUCUCCGUGAACGAGGAAUUCCCAGUAAGCGCGAGUCAUAAGCUCGCGUUGAUUACGUCCCUGCCCUUUGUACACACCGCCCGUCGCUACUACCGAUUGAAUGGUUUAGUGAGAUCUUCGGAUUGGUCCGGAAGUGGCCGCAAGGCUGCCUCUAGGUGCCGAGAAGAUGAUCAAACUUGA